rnacentral:rRNA from 1 species
GACGAACGCUGGCGGCGUGCUUAACACAUGCAAGUCGAACGGAAAGGCCCUGCUUUUGUGGUGUGCUCGAGUGGCGAACGGGUGAGUAACACGUGAGUAACCUGCCCUUGACUUUGGGAUAACUUCAGGAAACGGGGGCUAAUACCGGAUAGGAGCUCCCGUUGCAGGGUGGGGGUUGGAAAGUCUCGGCCGUCGUGGAUGGACUGGCGGCUUAUCAGCUUGUUGGUGGGGUAGUGGCUUACCAAGGCAUUGACGGGUCGCCGGCCUGAGAGGGUGACCGGCCACAAUGGGACUGAGAUACGGCCCAGACUCCUACGGGGGGCAGCAGGGGGGAAUAUUACACGAUGAGCGGAAGCCUGAUGCAGCGACGCCGCGUUCGGGAUGACGGCCUUCGGGUUGUAAACCGCUUUCGCCUGUGACGAAGCGGGAGUGACGGUAAUGGGUAAAGAAGCACCGGCUAACUACGUG